rnacentral:rRNA from 1 species
GACGAACGCUGGCGGCGUGCUUAACACAUGCAAGUCGAACGGUAAGGCCCUGCCUGUGGUGGGUGCUCGAGGGGCGAGCGGGUGAGUAACACGUGAGUAACCUGCCCUUGACGGUGGGAUAACUGCAGGAAACUGGGGUUAUUACCAGAUAGGAGUUCCGCCUGCAGGGGGGGGGUUGGAAAGUUUCGGCGGUUGGGGAUGCGCUGGCGGCUUGUCAGCUUGUUGGUGGGGUAGUGGCUUACCAAGGCUUUGGCGGGUGGCCGGCCUGGGAGGGUGACCGGCCACAUUGGGCCUGGGAUCCGGCCCAGACUCCUCCGGGAGGCAGCAGUGGGGAUUAUUGCACAAUGGGCGGAGGCCGGAUGAAGCAACGCCGCGUGCGGGAUGACGGCCUUCGGGUUGUAAACCGCUUUAGCCUGUGACGAAGCGUGAGUGACGGUAAUGGGUAAAGAAGCACCGGCUAACUACGUG